GACCCAUUUUGGAAAUAAGGGUUUUGUUCUUGUUCUUCAUCAGAUGUGCGAUUUGGAUCUCUAUAUUACUCCCAUUCGAGUGAUUUCAAUUCCUGAGCUUGUUCCAGACUGCAUUAUGCACGCAACCGUACACUGCUCUACCCGAUUCAAUUUUCACAUUUUUCUUCCCAAUUUCAAUUUCUUUGCAGAGCUAAGAUGAAAUUCGCCAAAAGAAAUCUUUUUUCGGCUUUGAUUUUGCUCAUGUCCUCUUUGAUUUAGCUGUCCUUCCCAUGGCUUCAAUGGAGUUCUAGAGAGAAAAGGUUUCAACCAAGCUGAAAUGGCUAAAUUGCUCCAGUUUCAAUCAUUAAAUUGAAAGGAAAAAAAAAAAAAAAAAAACACUAGCUCCAACAAUGAAAGUUUUUGAGAUGGUUUUGAAAAUUGCAAUAUCUACACAUUGGUGAAUUGCAGUUGGUGAUUGUUAUGUGUGCUGUCACUCCCAUUGGUGAAAAUUACAUAAGUUAUUUGUAGAUCAAUAUUAUCGGUCAAUCAAUAUACUGGGAUUUCAGAGAUCACCUUGUUGGAAGCCUUGGCACUCAGAUUGGAGCAACUCAGAGCUGUGUUAUUUAUAGCCAAUUUCGACAACAAGUUAUGGUGUUUUUUUUCCCUCUUAGAUCAUGAUCUAUGAUUUGCAUUAUCAUUUGUAGCACCCGGGGAAAAUAAUUGAACAUAUAUUUGAGCAGCAGCAGUCAAAUAAACAAGGUUAUAUCUGGGAAAGUCGAACACAUGAAGGAUUUCUUCCUUUGUCAGUUCUCUUUCAAUACAAAUUAUGUUUAUUAACAUCUUUGAACAAAUAAGUUAAAAGAGUAAAAAUCAUCAGAGGAAGCAAAAAACUUAUUAAACAUGUAAGUAAAAACCUCAUUAAACAUGUGAGUGUAAGCCUUAUCAUGCAUAAUGUUACUAUUGCCUUCUUUUAUUCCUACAUUCACUGUUUUGCUUUACUUCAUAAUGUGCUUUACAACCUUCUUUUAGGGAUCAUCAAGAGCAUCUCUCAGACUGAAUGUUGAUACCAAACGUGAGAUAUCAGGAGGAAGAAUAGCCUCGCAGAUUUCAAGACUACCAUUUGCUUUGACGAAUAUUUUUGUUGCUGAUGAUGACUUCCUUGGGUGCUUGUGUUUUGGAUGGAACACCUGAUUCUUCUUCAGUCAGCAUACUUGAUAAACUUUGGCAGAACUGGUCAUCAUGGUCUGAUGGUCAAUAUAAUUGG